CUCUGGGGUCUUUCAAAAAAUGUGUGUGUAUAUGUAAUGAUAGAUCAUGUGACAAUAAAAUUGCACACAGGUGGACAUCAUUUAACUAAUUAUGUGACUUCUGAAAAUAAUUGGUUGCACCAGAGCUUUUUAUGGGCUUCAUAACAAAGGGGGUGAAUACAUACACACAUGCCAAUUUUCUGUUUUCUAUUUCUGAAAAAUAGUUAUAGGUAUAUAUUUUUCUCAUUUCACUUCACCAACUUAGACUAUUCUGCAAGUGUUCUGAGCCAUUACAUAAAAUUCAGAUUAAUAAAACAUUUAACUUAAGGCUGUAAUGUAACAAAAUAGGUAAAAAGUCAAGGAGGGUGAAUACUUUUGCAAAGCACUGUAUAUUAAUUCCUUCCCCAGCUGUCUAUCAUUUUUAAGCACUUAUAUGACAGCAGCAUUAAGGCAAUGCUUAGGUUCCGUGACAGCUCUGUGGUUCUCCUUACUUAAAACCAAGAUACUGCAGAGGUGCUGCAGAAAGUGUCAACGCUUGGUAGCUGUGAGGCUGAUGUUCUGACUCCAACCGGUAAAACUUGCUUUGCCAGUUUGUUCAUUUGAGCUGCUAUAGAAAGACGACACAGUAAAUUCAUUAUCAAACUCCCUGGCCUGUGCUACCUCUUGUGUUAAGUUCAGGAAAAAAAAGGAACAAAGGAUCUAAUAAAUAAUUGGCUUAUCUUGAUAGUGAAAGUGUUAACAGACAUACAUAUAUUUAAUGCUUUGUGUACAGUUUAACCCUUAUAAAAGCAGAAGUGCUUGUGUGAUGGUAGUGGGUACCAUAUAGAUGAGGAUCACCCAUUAUUUAUAAUAAGCUUACCUAAAAAUAACCAGACACAAGACGUACGUGAUUUCAACAAGAUGGCCGCCGUUUUACAGCGCACUUGUUGUUCGGUUAUAUGAAUGGCGGCCAAUAAAAGAAAGAACUUACGUCUGUGGUUUCUUUGAAGUUUAAUGAGCCAGGGGGUGGUAAUUUAAUGAGCCAAGUUUAAUGAGCCAGGGGGGGAAAUUAACUGGGACAAGAAAAUACAGCGUUUGUUUUCACAUUGCUCCCCCCAGUUCGAUGGUGUGGCAUACGCGCCUAUAACCCGGACGGGUUGGCUUGGGGAUUUCCGGGAGGAUAAAUUAAGGUUCCAGUUCCAUCUGCCGGGAUAAUCAUCUGCAUUGCCAUUCUGUUUGACUGGCCUGAAUUGGAUUUUAUCAAUGGAUGUUGUUAUAAUUAGGAUUUUAAUUUUUUAAUUUUGAGUUAGAUAAUCAUCCCCCUUUUUUAGUUUUUUUCUAUUGUUUUGUAACUGUGAUAAUGUUUACACAUAAAGGUUAUGUGACUGUUUCUUAAAUGAGGUUUCCAUAGGAAUAUUAUUAUGUAUUGAACAUAUGCUGUAUUUUUGUAGUGCUAUUUCUACUUCUUUGAGAAUUUCCUCUAGUGUAAAGACAAUACAUGUGUAUUUAUUGGCUGCUUCAAGAAUAGACAUGAGUUUUAGAUAACUUAAUCUAUUGUAUAUGCUGGAGGCCGAUUGGAUCACGGCCUGAGGACUGACUAUGUAUAGAACGAUCUUCAGUGGGAGGGGACCAAGCUCAUUUGAGAAAGCCCCAAGAGGCGGGACGUGACCACGUGUUCGGCAUACACGGUGUGUUUUGAUAUAUCCACCGGCGAGAUACACCAGCUUCAGAACAAGGAGAACUGUGUACCUGCAACUUUCUGCACGGCAUCAGGCUUCAGAUGGUGUGGUGAGCUGGCAGUGGACACUGCUGUUUUUAAGCUGUUAUUUGGAGUGUUUCUGUACAAUCAAUAAAUUGUGUUAAUCUGACACCUGG